rnacentral:siRNA from 1 species
UCAUCAGUUCCACUUGGGGAGCCC